GCAGCCCCUUUGGUAAUAAUACUGUAAGAACUGAACACAGCCUGGAGAAGGAGAGAGAAAACAUCACUACAUUGGUUAUUCAAAAGUGUGAUGAAAACCUGCCCAAGUGAAGCUAUGGACACGAAGUCCCAUCCUGAACAUCUCUAACCCGCAUGCAGCACUGCCAGGCUCCAGGACCCUUUCCCCUGUGAUUCAACACUGCAGAUCCUGAGCUGAUAAGCAGGAACAAAGCACCGUGAACAUUUAAAAAUCCAAAAUUCCUGGAGCGCGCGAGCCUCCCCGGCGGAGCACGCA